AUACGUAGGGUGCUAACGUUGUUCGGAAUCACUGGGCAUAAAGAGCGCGUAGGCGGUCUGAUCAGUCAGGUGUGAAAUCCCCCGGCUCAACCGGGGAACUGCACCUGAUACUGUCGGGCUUGAGUGCAGGAGGGGAGAGCGGAAUUCCUGGUGGAGCGGUGAAAUGCGUAGAUAUCAGGAGGAACGCCGGCGGCGAAAGCGGCUCUCUGGUCUGUUACUGACGCUGAGGCGCGAAAGCUAGGGGAGCAAACGG
rnacentral:rRNA from 1 species